CAAAGUAGUGUGUGAGUUUGUGUGUGCAUGCAUGCACAAGCUAGCAUUUACUCCAAUGCCAUUGCAGCAUGAACACGAUUGCAUCAGUUCUGGUUACUUUGGACCAUUUCUGAAUCCAGAUUUCCUGAGCACUCUUUGAAGUCGUAGUUCAGCCCCCCAAGUGUAAGUUCAUUGCCCUGCCAUGAUAUUGCUAACUGGGAUUUCCCACUUGCAUUUCAAGUUGUCCCACAGCUCUGGUUCCACAGCCCGUGGGUGAGCACCUGAGCCUUGGGCUCUGCUGGUCCUGCUCUGGGCUCUUGCUGCAGCACCGUGCAACCCCGCUCCUUCCCUUCCAACCAUGUGCAGCCCAAGAAAUGUCUCCAAAGUGAUGAGGGUUCAUCCCAAGGCGCCUUUUCGAGAAGAAUUCAGCAGUGUCCCUGGUCAAACGUCAUUUUUAAUUCUUCAUCGGUGGUGCAGGCUGUAUUCCUCUGGUAGACGAUACAACACCAAAAACUCCUGAAACUUGCUGUCCCGGGAAGUAGCUUCCAUCCACCCUGGGCAGGACGGGCAAUAAUUAGUCACCAACACGUUUUAAUGCUCAAAGUCCUUCUUUCUUUAAAGGCAUGCUUAGAAAGAGACAUUUAAGUCUAUCAAGUAUGCAAAAAUGUAUGCAGAUGCUCCUUGAAAAUGGCUUACCCGAAGGAAUAGUCACCGGGAAAAAUCACUUUCCUGCCUCCUAAAAGUAGGAAAGUUUUGAAAAUUAUAUUCACAUAGAAACUGUUUCAAAAUAAGUUCGCCACUCUGGGGUCCCCCGCCCCCUCCCCUGCCUCCUAAUUGCCUUUUUUUUUUUUCCUUCCAAGUCUGUAUUAUGUUUCUUUGGGUUGCGCCAACUAUUUAUUUAUCUUUAUUCUUUCCCUCUUUCUUUUCAUUCAUUAUUCUCUCUCCCUCUCUUUUUUUUCCUUGUGUGUGUGGCUUCUCGGUCUGAUCUGUAGCUUGUUACCACCCACUGCACGCUCUCUCCUGCAGCCGAGGUGUUUCUAUACAAACUUCAGCGUCCAGUUGUCAUAUUAAUUAUUACACUGAGUAAUGACUGAAAUAGUCAAAAUAAGGGGAGACUCAAGAGAGCUUUUUCUUGCUGCUCAAAGAUUCAGCAAAGAAGCCUUGCAACAAAGCACUAAUUGGUCCCCAGAAAUACUCUGACAAGGCAUGGAAGAUAGGUUUCAUAAAGCCCAGCAAUUGUGAAGGGGAAAAGAUCCUUGAAUAGACCCCACGCUUCUUUUCUAAACUCUCUUGCUGAGCAAAAAAUGGACUGCUUCUUGAAUACUGGACUGAUCUUGAAUGCUAUACCCAGCAGAGAAAAAAAUGCACCAUUUAUUGUAAGUUUUUUUCCAGCUAUUCAUGUGUUCUAUGUGGAGAAUAAGCUGGUUUUGUUUACCAUGAAAGACCUUUUACUUUAUUUUCACUCUUGGGGGGGAAGCUGGAAGAAGGGGGGGGGGGGGGGGCGAGGGGAGGGAGAGAAACACAUGUGCCCAAAUCCAGACGAGCUGCCUACUGUAACAAAAUGGAGUGUAACAAAUCCUACAGAAGUCCCGAAUGUAUCGAUUCUUUGAAGAUCUAUAUAGAUUAACGACUUUCGUUCUGCCUUUCCAAGACAGCAUUUAAUCAUAACGUAAAUGGCCUUUAAAAAAAGAAAAGGGGUGAAAAAAAGCAUACCAAAGUGUGUUUUUUUUUUUUUUUUUUAAAAAAAAAAAAAAGGACUUCAAAAGACUUCAUGAGUGUGGCACACAAAAUUUAGGCACAUAAAAAAGACACUAUAAAGUAAUGACAAUUCAAGAUUAAAAAAAGUAGAAGAAAAAAAAAAAGAAAAAAGAAAAAGGGGAAAGUCCAAUAAGACCAAUGAAAAGGGCAAGAGCUAUUUAUCAUUAUGUUAGAAUUAAGAAUUUCAAGGCGCAGGUGCAGGACUGUGCAUACAAGUGGGUGGAGGCUGGGGACCCCGAAACACUAUUUAUUAUCUAUAAACCUGGCAGCCCCAGGCCCCUUACUCUGCGAAGUGAGCAGAUCAGAAAGAUGCCAAGAUUGGCAUUACCUUAGACAACACGAAGGAUGAGCUUGUUCCACUAUGGCAGCAACUGGAGAGGGGCAUGCUCAGUAAAGGGAGGAAAAGGCUCUUCCCCCAUUGCCCCCCAGGCCCAGAGAGCCAGGGGAGAAUGGAGCUUUGGAGGUGAAAUUACAUGCAAGUUAUACGUGGUGACCUCUGGGACUCACGCCUUUUGCCUUUUUAAGAGCUCUUGUUCAGAGCCCUCUGAGACUCAAAAAAGGGGGACCCAGAAACUCUGGUCCAUUUUGCCAUUUGGGGAAAAGGGCAGGAAUUUCCAUGCCACAGUCUUUUCACACUAGUUCUGGCAGUGGACUACUCCGUAAGUAUUACCCUACGUACAUAUAUAGUCUACAAGGCUGCAAUUAAUUUGGUACUUCAUUUUCUGAUAUCUGUUGCCACUUUCUAAUGCCACUGGUGCAUUGCUGUUCUCUCGCUCCUGUAACAUCACAACGUGAAGCCGAUGAUGCAACUGCUACUUCCAGUGCAGUGAGGUCAGACAAGGGAUGUCCCUGACUGAAUCAUCCAGAAUACUCGGAACUGAGAAGAGAGAGCUUCCUAUGCAGAGACAAUACUGAAUGCUGCAUGCCGGUUGUCCUGCCAAAAAGAAAAUAAAAUCACUUGGUAGA